rnacentral:rRNA from 1 species
AUGGUUAAGCUAAGAAGAGCGUAGGGAGAAUGCCUUGGCAUUAGGAGCCGAUGAAGGACGUGAUAAGCUGCGAUAAGCUGCGGGGAUCAGCAAGUAUGAAUUGAUCCGCAGAUUUCCGAAUGGAGCAAUCCGUAUGUGUAUGCACAUACAUCAUAUACUGAAUCAAAUAGGUAUAUGAGGGGAACCGCCUGAACUGAAACAUCUAAGUAGGGCGAGGAAGAGAAAUCAACCGAGAUUCUGUGAGUAGUGGCGAGCGAAAGCGGAAGAGGCUAAACCAUAGGUAGCAAUACUUAUGGGGUUUCGGACAGCAUUUAGUAUUGAUAAUUUCUAGUUGAAACGUGUGGGAAAACGUACCGAAGAGUGUGAGAGUCACGUAAGCGAAAGAGAGAAUCAGCGAGCUGUAUCCAAAGUACCGCGGGACACGUGAAACCCCGUGGGAAGAUGGGGGGACCAUCCUCCAAGCCUAAAUACUACCUAAUGACCGAUAGCGAAUAGUACUGUGAAGGAACGGUGAAAAGAACCCCGGGAGGGGAGUGAAAAAGAACCUGAAACCCUAUGCUUACAAGCACCGAGAGCACGUCAAAGUGUGAUCGGGUACCUUUUGUAGAAUGGUCCGGCGAGUUAUUGUAUGCGGCAAGGUUAAGUGCUUAAGGCACGGAGCCGAAGCGAGAGCAAGUCUGAAUAGGGCGAAAGAGUCGUAUGCAAUAGACCCGAAACCGAGUGACCUAUCCAUGUCCAGGCUGAAGUGGAGGUAAAACUCCAUGGAGGGCCGAACACACGUCCGUUGAAAAGGCCGGUGAUGAGGUGUGGAUAGCGGAGAAAUUCCAAUCGAACUCGGAUAUAGCUGGUUCUCUCCGAAAUAGCUUUAGGGCUAGCCUCGUGAAAGAUUACUGGAGGUAAAGCACUGAAUGGGCUAGGGGUCGAAAGAUUACUGAACCCUAUCAAACUAAGAAUGCCAGAUAAUUGAUUCACGGGAGUCAGACAAUGUGAGAUAAGUCUCAUUGUCAAAAGGGAAACAGCCCAGACCCACAGCUAAGGUCCCUAAACAUUGUUAAGUGGAAAAGGAUGUGGGGUUGCAUAAACAACCAGGAUGUUGGCUUAGAAGCAGCCACUCAUUAAAAGAGUGCGUAAUAGCUCACUGGUCGAGUGACCCUGCGCCGAAAAUUCAACGGGGCUAAACAAUGUACCGAAGCUUGGGAUUCUAAAGUAAUUUAGAGUGGUAGGAGAGCGUCGAAUAAGGGGUGAAGUCAGAGCGGAAGCGCUGGUGGACUUUAUUCGAGUGAGAAUGCCGGAAUGAGUAGCGAGAAUUAUGUGAGAAUCAUAAUGGCCGAAAAUCUAAGGUUUCCUGAGGAAGGUUCGUCCGCUCAGGGUAAGCCGGGGGCUAAGGCGAGGCGAAGACGCGUAGCCGAUGCACAUACGGUUGAAAUUCCGUAGCCACCGAAAGAUUUAAGUACAGGGACGCUUUAGAAGUGAUGUUGCCGGGCGAUGGUUGACCCGGUCGUAAGGGAUCGAAAAUGAGUAGAGAAGUCAUCAUGGAAAGAGACAAGAAAAGCUGUAUGAAUAUCUUAGGUGCCCGUACCGCAAACCGACACAGGUAGAUAGGAAGAAGAUUCUAAGGCCAACGGGAGAAGGGUUGUUAAGGAACUCGGCAAGUUGACCCCGUAACUUAGGGAUAAGGGGUGCUCAAGUGAUUGAGCCGCAGAGAAUAGGCCCAGGCGACUGUUUAGCAAAAACACAGGUCUCUGCUAAAUCGAAAGAUGACGUAUAGGGGCUGACACCUGCCCGGUGCCGGAAGGUUAAGAGGAGAUGUGAGAGCAUUGAAUUGAAGCCCCGGUAAACGGCGGCCGUAACUAUAACGGUCCUAAGGUAGCGAAAUUCCUUGUCAGGUAAGUUCUGACCCGCACGAAAGGUGUAACGAUCUGGGCACUGUCUCAACAACCCGCCCGGCGAAAUUGUAGUACCGGUGAAGAUGCCGGUUACCCGCGACUAGACGGAAAGACCC